rnacentral:rRNA from 1 species
UCCAGACCCCUACGGGAGGCAGCAGUGGGGGAUAUUGCACAAUGGAGGAAACUCUGAUGCAGCGACGCCGCGUGAGGGAAGACGGUCUUCGGAUUGUAAACCUCUGUCUUUGGGGAAGAAAAUGACGGUACCCAAAGAGGAAGCUCCGGCUAACUACGUGCCAGCAGCCGCGGUAAUACGGAGGAUGCGAGCGUUAUCCGGAUUUAUUGGGUUUAAAGGGUGCGCAGGCGGAUUUUUAAGUCAGCGGUCAAAUCGUGGGGCUCAACCCCAUCCAGCCGUUGAAACUGGGGAUCUAGAGUGUGCGAGAGGUAUGCGGAAUGCGUGGUGUAGCGGUGAAAUGCAUAGAUAUCACGCAGAACCCCGAUUGCGAAGGCAGCAUACCGGUGCACAACUGACGCUCAGGCACGAAAGCGUGGGUAUCGAACAGGAUUAGAUACCCCGGUAC